GAUCAUGGCUCAGAUUGAACGCUGGCGGCAGGCUUAACACAUGCAAGUCGAACGGUAACAUAAAGAAGCUUGCUUCUUUGAUGACGAGUGGCGGACGGGUGAGUAAUGCUUGGGAAUCUAACUUAUGGAGGGGGGUAACUACGGGAAACUGUAGCUAAUACCGCGUAGAAUCGAGAGAUGAAAGUGUGGGACCUUCGGGCCACAUGCCAUAGGAUGAGCCCAAGUGGGAUUAGGUAGUUGGUG
rnacentral:rRNA from 1 species